UACGUAGGGGCAAGCGUUGUCCGGAAUCAUUGGGCGUAAAGAGCGCGUAGGCGGCCCUGUAAGUCCGCUGUGAAAGUCAAGGGCUCAACCCUUGGAUGCCGGUGGAUACUGCAGGCUAGAGUCCGGAAGAGGCGAGUGGAAUUCCUGGUGUAGCGGUGAAAUGCGCAGAUAUCAGGAGGAACACCAUGGCGAAGGCAGCUCGCUGGGAC
rnacentral:rRNA from 1 species